ensembl:snoRNA SNORA70 Small nucleolar RNA SNORA70
AUUCAAAUACAGCUGUCCUUUGGUAAACGUAGAGGAUCAGUGGUGUGCAGUGGUUACAAAUGGCAGCCUCCUUGGUAGUGUACUCAGUCUGUUGCCUAUAUGGGUUGCCCUAAGGGGCCUUGGAGACAAUU